rnacentral:rRNA from 1 species
AAUGGGUCAGCGACUUAUAUUCUGUAGCAAGGUUAACCGUAUAGGGGAGCCGGAGGGAAACCGAGUCUUAACCGGGCGUUAAGUUGCAGGGUAUAGACCCGAAACCCGGUGAUCUAGCCAUGGGCAGGUUGAAGGUUGGGUAACACUAACUGGAGGACCGAACCGACUAAUGUUGAAAAAUUAGCGGAUGACCUGUGGCUGGGGGUGAAAGGCCAAUCAAACCGGGAGAUAGCUGGUUCUCCCCGAAAGCUAUUUAGGUAGCGCCUCGUGAAUUCAUCUCCGGGGGUAGAGCACUGUUUCGGCUAGGGGGUCAUCCCGACUUACCAACCCGAUGCAAACUGCGAAUACCGGAG